rnacentral:rRNA from 1 species
GAUUAAGUUAUUAAGGGCGCACGGUGGAUGCCUUGGCACUAGAAGCCGAUGAAGGACGUUACUAACGACGAUAUGCUUUGGGGAGCUGUAAGUAAGCUUUGAUCCAGAGAUUUCCGAAUGGGGAAACCCAGCAUGAGUUAUGUCAUGUUAUCGAUAUGUGAAUACAUAGCAUAUC